AAUUUUUGCGUUUGACUCCGGAACAAAAACAAAAGUUGGCGUUCGCUCCCGCUUUCGAGGUAGCGACGUCCCGUUACCAUAGCAAUGGACAGAAUCAAUUGGGAGAACACGCUUGUCAAUCUGCAGGCAUUUGCUCGCGGAUACUUGGUAAGAAACGAAGUUCGUCGUGCCAGAAACGACUUCGAAGACAUUGUCCAAGAAAUUGAUGGAGGCUUGUCCCAUUUACAGUGGAGAGACACGGUCAUAGCUAUUCCCCACUUCACAGACACUCACGGCCCAUUUCUAAGAGUCAGCAGCUCAACCAGCAGUCCUUCAGAACCAGGACUACACGUCAGCGUCACUCAGAACUCAUCAGGAGGAACAGACACGUGUUUACCACAAGAGAGGGAAGGCGAUCGGGGUGUCCUGCUACAGAGGAUAGAAGCUGAGAGAGAUGAGCCGCAGACCGGUGACCACGACUGUGACUCCAGGGCCGGGUGCUCCAACAACAGUGUUGAAGAUGCUCAGAGACAGAGGGGUUUGAGGGAACAGCAGGACGAUAAUGACGGCGGGGCGAUGGAGAGCGUAGCAGACUCCACCUCAGUGUGGAGCAGUUUGAACCUGGACAUGAACUGCAGCCACUCUCAAAAAGGCUCACAGCAGUUCUGCUUAGCUCAGGAGGUGCCGCGGACGUCAGAGGCGCUCCGUGCACACAGAAAAUGCCUGACUAUGGAGCUGGUGUGGCUCCAACAGGCCAUCGACAGCAGGAAAAAGUACUUGUCACUGAGGGACAGGCUAAGCAUCACCUGACAGCGGACGUAAUAAAGUGCACAUUUGUUGAGAAAAGUUCUUGUGU
rnacentral:lncRNA from 1 species